rnacentral:rRNA from 1 species
CACGGGGGGAGCAAGCGUUGUUCGGAAUCACUGGGCGUAAAGGGCGCGUAGGCGGACAGUUUAGUCAGAGGUGAAAGCCCAGGGCUCAACCUUGGAAUUGCCUUUGAUACUGGCUGUCUUGAGUUCGGGAGAGGUGAGUGGAAUGCCGAGUGUAGAGGUGAAAUUCGUAGAUAUUCGGCGGAACACCAGUGGCGAAGGCGACUCACUGGCCCGAUACUGACGCUGAGGCGCGAAAGCGUGGGGAGCAAACAGG